rnacentral:ncRNA from 1 species
ACGCACCUGCAGAGGGUGCAGCCGGCUCCAUAAAAAGAUCGUGCAGGUGAUCGGAGUCUGUAUCACCCGGUAAUCAAAGUAUCUACUUUGAUUUUAAGUUUUUC